rnacentral:rRNA from 1 species
GUGCCAGCAGCCGCGGUAAUACGUAGGGGGCUAGCGUUAUCCGGAUUUACUGGGCGUAAAGGGUGCGUAGGCGGUCUUUCAAGUCAGGAGUUAAAGGCUACGGCUCAACCGUAGUAAGCUCCUGAUACUGUCUGACUUGAGUGCAGGAGAGGAAAGCGGAAUUCCCAGUGUAGCGGUGAAAUGCGUAGAUAUUGGGAGGAACACCAGUAGCGAAGGCGGCCCUCUGGGCCGAGACCGACGCUGAGGCGCGAAAGCUGGGGGAGCGAACAGGAUUAGAUACCCUGGUAGUCCCAGCCGUAAACGAUGGACGCUAGGUGUGGGGGGACGAUCCCUCCGUGCCGCAGCCAACGCAUUAAGCGUCCCGCCUGGGGAGUACGGCCGCAAGGCUAAAACUCAAAGGAAUUGACGGGGACCCGCACAAGUAGCGGAGCAUGUGGUUUAAUUCGAAGCAACGCGAAGAACCUUACCUACACUUGACAUCCCUUGCAUUACUCUUAAUCGAGGAAAUCCCUUCGGGGACAAGGUGACAGGUGGUGCAUGGUUGUCGUCAGCUCGUGUCGUGAGAUGUUGGGUUAAGUCCCGCAACGAGCGCAACCCUUGUCGUUAGUUACUACCAUUAAGUUGAGGACUCUAGCGAGACUGCCUGGGUUAACCAGGAGGAAGGUGGGGAUGACGUCAAAUCAUCAUGCCCCUUAUGUGUAGGGCUACACACGUGCUACAAUGGCUGGUACAGAGAGAUGCAAUACCGCAAGGUGGAGCCAAACUUAAAAACCAGUCUCAGUUCGGAUUGUAGGCUGAAACUCGCCUACAUGAAGCUGGAGUAAGUAGUAAUCGCGAAUCAGAAUGUCGCGGUGAA